CAUACACACAGACAGACAUUAAAACAUUCACAGAUACAUACUGACACACACAUACACUGACACACAAAUAUAUCCUGGCAGACAUACUGACACACACGUACACACACACACAGACAUACUGGCAUACACGCAGACAUACUGGCAUACACGCAGACAUACUGACACACACACACACGGACAUACACACACAGACAUACUCGCAUACACACACACACAGACAUACUGGCAUACACACACAGACAUACUGACACACACACACACACACACAGACAUACUGGCAUACACACAGACAUACUGACACACACACAGACAUACUGGCAUACACACAGA